AUGGUCACAGUGGACAUCAACCCAUCUAGACUCUAGGGCUGGCGCCAACUGUGACCACUG
ensembl:miRNA Mir3073b microRNA 3073b